CCUACGGGAGGCAGCAGUGAGGAAUAUUGGUCAAUGGGCGCAGGCCUGAACCAGCCAAGUCGCGUGAGGGAAGACUGCCCUAUGGGUUGUAAACCUCUUUUAUAAGGGAAGAAUAAUGACUACGUGUAGUCAGAUGCCCGUACCUUAUGAAUAAGCAUCGGCUAACUCCGUGCCAGCAGCCGCGGUAAUACGGAGGAUGCGAGCGUUAUCCGGAUUUAUUGGGUUUAAAGGGUGCGCAGGCGGAUUUUUAAGUCAGCGGUCAAAUCGUGGGGCUCAACCCCAUCCAGCCGUUGAAACUGGGGAUCUAGAGUGUGCGAGAGGUAUGCGGAAUGCGUGGUGUAGCGGUGAAAUGCAUAGAUAUCACGCAGAACCCCGAUUGCGAAGGCAGCAUACCGGUGCACAACUGACGCUCAGGCACGAAAGCGUGGGUAUCGAACAGGAUUAGAUACCCGGGUAGUC
rnacentral:rRNA from 1 species